rnacentral:tRNA from 1 species
AGUUAAUAAGCUUAUAAGCAUUUGUUUUGAAAACAAAAGAUAGAACUUAAUAAUUCUAUUAACUU